CGACACCUGCUUGCUCCUUCCUUACCUCGCAGCUUCCCACACCUGCUGGUCUGCCCUCCACCCCGCUGCCGCCAAGGGAACAGUCAAGGCUUCGGGCCAAAUUCGAGCUCACUGCGUACGCUGUGCGGGAAAACCUGGGGGGUGUGCCAAGGCAAAGCCUGGCAUUUCAGCCUGUAGGUGGGCAUCAUAUGUGGAGGAGAGAAAGCUGGUGCUCAGAGACCUGAGUGUCGGGGUCGACGUCUGCCGGCUUCCAAAGCUUUGCCUCUUGCCAUCACUUUCCGUGCACACCAAGGACACGUUCCCAUCCCUGACACCUUACUAUGAGGGUUUUGUUUAGCAAACACCAGAGCAGAUCAUGAAACCAGGUGUGGCAACCUGCUUGAGAAAAGGAGCCAGACAGCUCACUGUAGCUGCGCUGACCUGGAACAGAAAUGAGUAAGACAACUUUUAAAGAAAAUGCACAAGACUGCUAUUAGCUUUUCAAGGACUUUUGAAUGACAGGGUCAGGGGAGGUGGAAGGUGGAGACAGCUAAUAGAGAGGAAAGUGAAAUGAUUUAUACACAAUUUGCUAAUUUAGUCAGGAGGUAAGAAUGAUAAUUAGGUCAUUCUUCCCACACAAAGAUGACACAAUUGACCUAGGAUUAGUGAGGCAAGCAGUCUGGGCUGUUUUUCCAGUAGUGUGAUAGUGGCUGUGUCAUGGACGUGACCUCACCCACUUUUCUCUGGGAGCAAGGAGUGUGGGAAUGGCGGCCACACUUGAGGUACAAAUCUCAGUUCUGUCAGAUGCUGUUCCCGCUGCCGUGUAAGCCUAUCUCAUCACAGUGGAGAUGGAGAACAUGGCAUCAAAGUUGUUUAAUCUACUCAAAGGUCAUUCCUUGGAGAAUGUACAAGAAUCAUAUUUAAUUUUGUCAUGAAGAGUUAUAGACAAAAAUGUGAGUUUUGUUUCAUGAGCUAUUAUGUAAUGGGUACAAAGUUUUAGUUCGAGGUGAUGACAAAAUUCUGGAAUUGGACAGUGGCGAUGUUCACAAAACAAUGUAAAUGUAUUUGACACCACUAUAUACUUUAAAAUGGGUCUUUUAAAACCCCUCCCUCUUUUUCCUCCUUGCUACCCUACCUGAUCAGACAACCAUUGAUACUUUUCCUGUCUCUACGUAUCAGUUUGUGUUUCCUAGAAUUUUAGAUAAAUGGAACCAUACAGCGUGUCCAUUUUAAAUGGCUUCUUCCACUCAGCAAAAUUAUUGUGAGAUUCAUUAAUGUUGUAGCAUGUAUCAGUAGUUCAUUCCUUUUUAUUAUAUUCCACAUGUAAAGAUAUAUCAGUAUGUAUAUCCAUUCCCUUGUUGAUGAACAUUUGUGUUGUUUUUAGUUUUGGGCUGUUGCAAAUAAAGCUGUAUGAACAUU